GAAAUACAAAAUUAGGUAAAUACAUUUUCAAUUUGAGAUAACCUGUUUAUAUUUCUCCGAUAUGUUAAACUAUGUAACGCAGUCCACGAAAAACGCGCACAGUUUCUGCAAACAACGACCGCAGUAUUCCCGAAAAACGCUUCAGUUUCCACAAAAAAAGUAGCAGGUUUCACGACAAUUGCAUGUGCAUCGAAUUCCCUUCUUUAUUUCAAACAUGACAAUAAUAUCGUUCAUAUGAUUUCUUCUUACGCCUGUGUGGAACCUAAGUAUAAUGGAUAAAAAUAGCACCAUAAGAAGAAGAUAGAAAUGUCAACAGCGAGACCAUUCGCUGCGAAAGAAUAUAAUAAAUUUAUGCAGUGAAUCCUUUAUCACUAUAAUGUCUCUCCUGAAGUUUAAAGCAUCAACAGCUACUUUAAUGAUAAAAACAUGUAAACGAGCCAAAAGACGAAGUAGACGUAUAGAUGUAUUUGAACAGCCACUUAAAAAGCCAAUAACUGCACCAAAGUUACUCUUGAAAUUAAACUAAAAGGUAUAAGAAGCAAUACAAA